rnacentral:rRNA from 1 species
UGGGGAAUAUUGCACAAUGGGCGCAAGCCUGAUGCAGCGACGCCGCGUGAGGGAUGACGGCCUUCGGGUUGUAAACCUCUUUCAGUAGGGAAGAAGCGAAAGUGACGGUACCUGCAGAAGAAGCGCCGGCUAACUACGUGCCAGCAGCCGCGGUAAUACGUAGGGCGCAAGCGUUAUCCGGAAUUAUUGGGCGUAAAGAGCUCGUAGGCGGUUUGUCGCGUCUGCCGUGAAAGUCCGGGGCUCAACUCCGGAUCUGCGGUGGGUACGGGCAGACUAGAGUGAUGUAGGGGAGACUGGAAUUCCUGGUGUAGCGGUGAAAUGCGCAGAUAUCAGGAGGAACACCGAUGGCGAAGGCAGGUCUCUGGGCAUUAACUGACGCUGAGGAGCGAAAGCAUGGGGAGCGAACAGGAUUAGAUACCCAAGUAGUCCCUGAGCGGGCUGGCAAGGCGCAU